rnacentral:lncRNA from 1 species
UUAAAUAUAGAUAUAUAUAUUCUAUAUAUGUUAUAUAUAGAAUAUACACAAAUAUUAUGUAUAUAAUAUACACAAAUAUAAUAUAUUAAUUAUAUAUAUAAUAUAUAUAAUAUACACAAAUAUAUAUAUGUAUACAUAUACGUAUAUGUAUACAUAUACGCAUAUAUGUAUAUAUAUGUAUACAUAUACGCAUAUAUAUGUAUACAUAUAUGUAUAUAUAUACACAUAUAUAUUUGUGUACGUUAUAUAUAUAAUAUACAUAAUAUAUAUAUAAUUAAUAUAUAUAUUAUAUUUGUGUAUAUUCUAUAUAUAUAUAAUAUAUAUAUAGAAUAUAUAUAUCUAUAUUUAAGGCCAAGAGGACAGUUAGUUUCUCUUUGAAUAUUCCUCUGCUAGCAGUUAAGGAUGGGUCAGACUGGACUAUUGGGGGCCAUU